GAUGAACGCUGGCGGCGUGCCUAAUACAUGCAAGUCGAGCGAAUGGAUUAAGAGCUUGCUCUUAUGAAGUUAGCGGCGGACGGGUGAGUAACACGUGAGUAACCUGCCCAUAAGACUGGGAUAACUCCGGGAAACCGGGGCUAAUACCGGAUAACAUUUUGAACCGAAUGGUUCGAAAUUGAAAGGCGGCUUCGGCUGUCACUUAUGGAUGGACCCGCGUCGCAUGAGCUAGUUAGUGAGGUAACGGCUCACCAAGGCAACGAUGCGUAGCCGACCUGAGAGGGUGAUCGGCCACACUGGGACUGAGACACGGCCCAGACUCCUACGGGAGGCAGCAGUAGGGAAUCUUCCGCAAUGGACGAAAGUCUGACGGAGCAACGCCGCGUGAGUGAUGAAGGCUUUCGGGUCGUAAAACUCUGUUGUUAGGGAAGAACAAGUGCUAGUUGAAUAAGCUGGCACCUUGACGGUACCUAACCAGAAAGCCACGGCUAACUACGUGCCAGCCGCCGCGGUAA
rnacentral:rRNA from 1 species